AUGACGUUGUUUGAUAUUAGGACUAACGUUAACGUUAGUGCAACCAGAGACGUUUGUCAUUUUGUGCAACAGUUUGUGCAAAGUUAACGUUAUUGUUAGCUGUGAUGCUCAUAUGAGUCUGUAGCCUAUCUGAUUUAAAAUGGGAUAGCAAUUUCGGCAGAAUAUGUUAUGCGUCAACUUUUAUCGGCUGGAUUCUAGCAUCUAACGUUACGAUUGCCUCUGUUGGGUUUGCUUGAUCAACCAUCGUUUCGGGGACUCUGAUGACAGUGAAGAGCCAGAAAAUGGUGACUUUGCAUCUCUGAGGUACCUUUCAACUCGCCUGGUAUAUCAGUUGAAGCCUCAAGCCCAAGCCAAUUGCACUGCAAACACCUCACCAUGGGGCAGGACCGCAACACUCUUCACCACCUCAACUCCCUGCACCUGCACCUGCAUUUAACAUACGGAGAGUUACUCAAGGAACGGCAGUCCCUCCUCAACUCCCUCCACCCCCACACCAGCCCUCAACGUGCAGCGAACAGAGGAGCUUUGUGCUGUGAGGAAAAACAUGGUGACACGGUCUGCCACGGACACUGAGGUCACCAAACACGCAAUCAGGUGUUUCAACCAGCGGUGGAUCGGGCAACGAGGAGAUGUGUUCCGCCUCCAUCCACACAAAUGGAGUAAUAGGAGAAAUAAGCAUUAAACAAUCUUUUUAUUGAA